AACGUAGGUUCCGAGCGUUAUCCGGAUUUACUGGGCGUAAAGCGCGUUCAGGCGGUUUGGCAAGUCGGGCCUGAAAUCUCUCGGCUCAACCGGGAGAGGUUGUCCGAUACUGCUGGACUUGAGGGCAGUAGAGGGUGGUGGAAUUCCGGGUGUAGUGGUGAAAUGCGUAGAUAUCCGGAGGAACACCGGUGGCGAAGGCGGGUCUCUGGGCCGAUACUGACGCUGAGGAGCGAAAGCGUGGGGAGCGAACAGG
rnacentral:rRNA from 1 species